rnacentral:rRNA from 1 species
GAUGAACGCUGGCGGCGUGCCUAAUACAUGCAAGUCGAGCGAACAGACGAGGCGCUUGCUUCUCUGACGUUUCCGGCGGAAGUGCGACUCACGAGUCGAUCACCCACCUAUCAGCCUGGGAUAACUUCGGGACACCGGCGCUAAUACCGGAUACUCUAUUGAACAGCAUGGUUCCAUAGUGACAGACGGUUUUGCUGUCACUUCUAGAUGGUUCCGCGCCGCCUUAGCUCGUUGGUAAGGUAACGGCUUACCAAGUCAACGAUGCGUAGCCGGCCUGAGAGGGUGAGCGGCCACACGGGAGCUUAGACACGGUCCAGACUCCUACGGGAGGCAGCAGUAGGGAAUCUUCCGCAAUGGGCGAAAGCCUGACGGAGCAACGCCGCGUGAGUGAUGAAGGUCUGCGGAUCGUAAAACUCUGUUAUUAGGGAAGAACAAAUGUGUAAGUAACUAUGCACGUCUGGACGGUACCUAAUCAGAAAGCCACGGCUAACUACGUG